rnacentral:rRNA from 1 species
UGGGGAAUUUUUCGCAAUGGGCGCAAGCCUGACGAAGCAACGCCGCGUGGAGGAUGAAGGUCUUCGGAUUGUAAACUCCUGUCGACCGGGACGAAUGCACCCGACCUAAUACGUCGAAGUGUUGACGGUACCGGUGGAGGAAGUCACGGCUAACUCUGUGCCAGCAGCCGCGGUAAUACAGAGGUGGCAAGCGUUGUUCGGAAUUACUGGGCGUAAAGGGCGCGUAGGCGGCCUUAUAAGUCUCGUGUGAAAGCCCUCGGCUUAACUGAGGAUCUGCACGGGAUACUGUAAGGCUCGAGUUCGGGAGAGGAAAGCGGAAUUCCGGGUGUAGCGGUGAAAUGCGUAGAUAUCCGGAGGAACACCAGUGGCGAAGGCGGCUUUCUGGACCGACACUGACGCUGAGGCGCGAAAGCUAGGGGAGCAAGCGGGAUUAGAUACCCCAGUAGUCCCUGAGCGGGCUGGCAAGGCGCAU